GCUGGUGGGGUGUGCUGCUAGGAACAGGCAAAGAGCGAGCCGUCGAGAUGCUGCUGGGAGCUGGCAAGAUACAUUUGUGGGAGCUGGCGAGAUGCGCUUCUGGCUUUUAUCCCUUGGCUUAGGCGUGCACCAAGCCCCUGGAGGUGCGCCGAGGGUGAUGCUGCCCACAAUUGACUCUGCUUGUAUUAGGUACAUGAAGGAUAAGGUUUGUGAUUUCCCCCGUCAAGGCAGUAAAUUUGGCGUCAACGGCAGGCACCAUCGCUGGUCAGCACUAGGUGGUGGACUUGUUUGUCGAGUUGUGGUUCCACUACGAGCCAAUCAAGAAAGUGUUAUGCGAGUAUGGAUAUACCACUAUUUCGUCGGAGAUCAAUGAAGCAGGUCGGAGGUCAAUGAAGCAGGUGAUCAGGCCAAGGUCGCUACACUUCAGGUGAAUGAAUGAAGGGCGAAAAGGCACACUUUCAUGAUAAGAUCUUAGUCUCCAGCUGCUCCACAUGUGUUGUACCUUUUCUUUUCUUUUCCCUUGAUGCUAAGAUCAUCCUAUAUCUUGUAGCUGAUGCACAUCACUAGAAUAAUGUUGUCAUUCUUACUGAUCGAUACAUAGGCCCCAGAGUUUAAUGUCAUGUAGUUUGUCAGUGA